AGGGACAGGCCCGGCGGCCUCGGGGCCCGGCCCUGGCGUGGCCUUGCGGCGGGCGGGAGCUCCGGGACCGAGUGCCAGCAGCGCCCCCAGGGCCGGGGCGGACGAGGGCCCCGAGAGCCGCCUCCGUCGGAGCGAGAGGUGCGGCCGCCGCGGCCACCUGCACACACGGGGAACAGUUAUUUGACUCCCCCGGCCUGGGGUCCAGCUCGCUGUGGUCACAUGGGCGCAGACGAGCGUGCACCUGAACCUCGGGCAUCAUCUGGGGUGCGGCCUCCGCUUUGACCUGGGGACAGACAGCAGAGACACCUGUCUGCAAGGACCAAUCCACCAUGCCCGAAGUCAAGGACCUUUCAGAAUCCUUGCCAGAGACGUCGAUGGAUCCCAUCACGGGAGUGGGGGUGGUGGCUUCUCGGAACCGAGCCCCGACGGGCUACGAUGUAGUCGCACAGACAGCAGAUGGUGUGGACGCUGACCUCUGGAAAGACGGCCUAUUUAAAUCGAAGGUUACCAGAUACCUGUGCUUUACACGAUCAUUUUCCAAAGAAAAUAGUCAUUUAGGGAACGUGUUAGUGGAUAUGAAGCUCAUUGACACCAAGGACACUCUGCCUGUAGGCUUCAUCCCCAUUCAGGAGACGGUGGACACACAGGAAGUGGCUUUUAGAAAGAAGAGGCUGUGCAUUAAAUUUAUUCCACGGGAUUCAACCGAAGCUGCAAUUUGUGACAUUCGGAUCAUGGGCCGGACCAAGCAGGCCCCACCUCAGUACACGUUUAUCGGGGAACUGAACAGCAUGGGGAUCUGGUAUCGAAUGGGCAGAGUACCAAGAAAUCAUGACUCAUCUCAACCCACGACGCCUUCCCAGUCAUCAGCAGCGUCCACCCCGGCCCCCAACCUUCCCAGGCACAUCUCUCUAACGCUGCCUGCUACCUUCCGAGGCAGGAACAGCACGCGCGCCGACUAUGAGUACCAGCACUCCAACCUGUAUGCCAUCUCAGCAAUGGAUGGUGUGCCUUUUAUGAUUUCAGAGAAGUUUUCUUGUGUUCCAGAAAGUAUGCAGCCCUUCGAUCUCUUGGGAAUCACCAUCAAAUCUCUGGCAGAAAUUGAAAAAGAGUUAAACCAGAACCAGCCCACCGCACCAGGGCAAGACCAGGCGUCACUGGCUUUGGUGAAAUCCCUGGUUGGAUACGUGAGGACUCGUUUCUCCACUCUCAAGGUGCUUUCCCGAAGCGUCUUAGGCGAUUCUCACCGCACCUCUCCCCAGUGAGGGAACUUAGCAGUGCAUCCUUGAAGGCCCGCCUAUGGCCACUUCCUAGUGGCCAUGUCCCACCUCCUGGCCACAAAGACUGGCGCAUGACUCCCCACCAAGGCACUUCCACCUCGUCAGCCACUUCCCCGGACUCGGAAAUGUCCUGCUGUCCCUCCGUCUCCCACCCACUCUGCCAUCCAGAAACUGGAAGUGCCCUUUUCUGGGCCCUCCGCCGUCAGCAGCCAGGUCUGAGGCCGGGGCUGUGGACAUCUGGGAGCUGGUGCCUCCAUCUCCCUCUGUGCUCCCUGUGGAAGACCAGCCCCAACAAAUCAACGAGGGCUGACUGCCCCAGGCACUCCCCGACACCCCCAGGAGGCUGGCACAGAGCCACACACAGCAGGGCACAGCAGAACCCCCUGAAGAAGUGACAGCCCACGACUGUCUCCGCCAGCACUUGACGGUGCCCCGGCUGGGGGCCUGGCACUGGGCUGGCUGCCUCCUCUGAGAGCUGCCUCACCUCUGCUCCUGCCUCAGCAAUGGCACUGAGACCACUUCCACGUCUGGGCUGUUGUAAAUAAUGCUGCAGUGAACAUGGGGGAGCAGAUGUCUUUUCGAGCGUUUUCCUUUUUCUUCAGUACGAGUACAGCUUCCGCACGGAGCAGAGUGCCGCCGCCAGGCUCCCGCCCAGCCCCACCCGGUGUCAGCAGAUCCCCCAGUCCUGAGGGGCCGGCGCCCUGCAGGGAGGAGAGCCUUGCCCAGACUACUGAGUGCCCCCUCGCCCGGUCCGCCCGCGGGGCUCACCAGACUGGGCAGCUGAGCUUGCAUCCUCGGCCAUUGGCUUGCCUGACAUGACAUCCCCACCUCCCUGGGGACGUUGUUCCUAAUCUCCACUAAUCUGUGUGUGCUGUAGUGACCAGCGGCUCCUAACGUGUCUGUGUGAUGACCAGUCGUCCUACAAACAACCCUACCCACCGCAGGAGUCACCCCUGAGGGCCCUGGACAGUUGCUCUGGCCGCCCAGUGAUGCCACCAGCUCCCUUCAUUCUUGUCACUCACCACUAAGCCAUUGCUUUCCUCCUGGAAGACCCUGAGGGUGAUGGCAGAUGUGCACAGGCCCCUCCACGGCUCCCUGGUCACCCCAGCCCCAGGGCUGCCAUGGAGCAAGUCCCUCACGCCGACAGCAUCAAGUGCCCUGAGCAUUUCACGGCGACCCUGGGGGAACACGGGAGGAAAAAGCCGGUGGGUCCUCGAGUGGACCCGAGCCUGACUCCCUGCCGCACUGUGGACAGCCCUGGAACUUGUCCCUCGAUCCACACACUGGACGUCCUGAGGUCGGGGAGCAGCACACCCCGGCUGCCAGCACAGAGGGGACUUGCCUUCUGGGGAGACAGCUGAGGGACUGGUGCUUGCCUCGACGCGAGGACGCUGUGCUCAUACCCUCUCCGCCCCAGAGGGCUCGUCUCUGGAACGCCCACGUGCCUCGGCCUGGUGCCCCGACCUGGUGACCACAGCGAGGCCCUCCCGGGGCCGCAGGUGAAGAGGUGCUGUGAGCCGGUGCCCAGGGAUGUGGACACAUGGCCACCCAGCUGCUCAGAGCUAGGCGGUGUCCUGUUGGCCUCUCCUAACAGGGACAGUUGUUUUGAAAAGCCCAUCUGACCCAAGUCACCAAACGGGGGCCAGAACUGAUGUUUCUGCCACAGGUGGCCAGUGGAUACACUGAGGUCCUCACCCUGCCAGCCGCCAAGUCCAGCUCCCCACACAUGUGCCAUGAGAACGGUGGCAGCAGCCGUCCCUGGAGGCUCCGGCCCUCACCCCAUGGCCACCUUGUCUGGCUGUCUGGGAGAUGCCAACAUUCUGUGGAAUUAGGACAGACCUCAUGUUGGGGGUCGCCAGAUGGCUGGGGCUUUGGGUGUGAGGUUGGACAUGAGGCUGGCAUGUGGGGGGCCAUGGAGAGCAGGGAGGUCCCCCCACCAGGAAGGCAGCACAGGAGAGCCACUGCCCGGCCUGGGACAGAGCCCUCCCCACUGUGGUUCCCAGGAGGGCGCAGGGUUCGCUGGUGGCGGAGGUGCAGCAGGAACUGACCAACACAGGAGACUGGCCGCUGGCAGGGAGGUGGGGCGGGGCACAAAAUACCUCAUGCACCUGCCGUCAGCCCCCCCAGCUCCAGAGCCCUCGGCUCUCCCACCUCAGUCUUCAUCUCGAUACCUCCUGAUUUCUGCGCAUCAGGGAAGUGGUCAUCCCUCCCCACCUCCCCCAAGACCUGAGGACGUCCCUGGCGGGGCUGGCCUCCCCAUGCCUGCCACCUGGCAGGAGAGGGCAGGUGGCUGGUGGACCCGGGGCCGCGGCGUGGAGCCCACAGUCCCUGCGAGCGCUUUCUGGGGUCAGUGCUUUACCAGGAAAGAGCUGAGGAGCUGACCUCAAACGUUCCCGCUAAAAUAAGCUCGCGUUUCUGGGGAAUCGGGGGAGCCCCCGGGGUCCCGAGAACCUGGGUCUGCUGCUGUUUUGGAGGGGUGGCUGGUCCCAAACCAAGUGACUUAUGUGACUCAAAGCUCAACAGAGAGGGGUGACAGCUGGCAGGCUUCGGGGCAGAGCCAUGCUCGCUUCUGUCCAGUUCCCAGUGGUUCAUGCAAUUUUCCUUCCAUCUCUUCUUCACACCCUGGAUGGGAGAUCAUCUCUGACAGCUAACACGGGGGCCCUUCUCCCUUGACCGAGAACCAGGCAUUUCAGCAGCUCUGAGGGGCCCUGGAAAGUCCAGAGAGGACGCUGGAGGGUCCCUUGUCAGGGAGCAAGAAGGCAGAGCCAGGCAGUAAGAGUGGCUGUCGGGGGAGGGGGGACCCAGCUCCCCAUUCACACCCCCGGGGGCCACCCUGCAGUCCCGGGAUGCACGGAACUAGGUGGGGCUGCAGGGCCACCAGCAAGAGGGCAGACCUGCGUGGACCCGGGUGCGCCAGAGGGACCCCAGCAUCACAGAUGUGGUCUCGGCUGGCGCUGACUGUGAAUGGCGGUACACGGCUGCCGGGGACGGUGAAACAGUGGUGCUGUUAGGGAAGAGCUGUUAGCUGCUCCUAACCCCCUCCUGCUUUGGCUUCUGAGAGGCGGGUGAGCGAGUGUGUGGGGGGCCGGGGGCGCGUGUGUGCUCAUGCCCAGCCCUCGUGGGCUCAUGCAGCCACCGGGGCGCCGGGCAGUGGUGAGCUGUCAUGACCUUUCUUUUCUUCCUGGGAGGUGCUUUUCUUCACGACCCCUCUGGCCACCUGGGGAGGGGAGGGUGGGGGCCCCUUGGACACGUGCAGGGCGGCCGCCUCGCCCUUGGCCCCCCAUCACCCCCGUCCCUCCCUCCCGAAAAGACUAAGCAGAGCACAGCGCUGCCUUCCUUUUCCCCAGAACAUUCCGGUCUCUCUCCAGAGGCCCUGGAAAUGGCACAACGGUGAUGAGGAGCCAGUCUGCUCCAGGUUCACUUGCAGAUUUGUAACGAGGCGUCUUUCCCACCCCAAGUCCAAGAGCUCUCAUCCCACACCCUCCUCUGCUCGGAAAGGUGGGAGCCGUGGCAGCAGCAGGGAGAGAUGGCAGGUCAGAGCCCAGCCUCCCGGGGGCGAGGGCCACCUCCUGCAAAUCCCUGAGUACACGCACUUGGUGGUGAGAAGCUGCUGACACUGGCUUUUCCAUCUGCCCUGGGCCGGCAGGGGCAGGAAGGACUAACGGAUGGAGCCCCUGCUCCUUGCCCUGCGCUAGGCUGGCACUUUGAGCACAUUUUCUCCCGUCGUUCCCCCUCAAAACAAAUCCCCAGAGAUGGGUGUUACCUGCUCUUUAUUACAGAUGAAGACGCUGAGACCUGCCCACAGGCACAAAGCUGGUAAGUGGCAGGGACAGGAUAUGGACCCGAGUCUCGUCGGGCCCCAGAGCCCCCUCUGCCAGCUGGCCCAUCAUAAGCACAUGCCCCACACUGACCUUUUUGUUUCCAGUCCAGUAAUGGACUUCCCAGCUGCCACUGGUCCUGCUGGUGCCGGCGUGAUGGUGUCACCACCCCACCGCGCCAUGGGUGCUGAGCACAAGGCAAGAGCCCGCCUACCCUGCUCACUCCAGCCAACAAGGGCUCCCCUGAGGUUCCGGGCUGCUCGCCUUCCCAUUUACAAGGGGUCCCAGCCUGCAGCUCCCCGGAGACCUGGGCAGCCUGAGGACGAGGGCAGAGAAGGGCCCUGACAAAGCAGCCAUGCGCCACAGCUGAGCUCCUGGGACUCGGUUCCCGUCUCCUGGACCCCUGGGGCCUGGAAGAGGAGGCCAGGCACCCUGCCCUCGCCCCAGCCCCACUGUCCUUGCCUGUUCUGAUGGCGGCCCAGAGCACCUGUGGCCAUCACCACCAGGAGACGGGACUGCUGUGCUCCCAGCCAAGGGCGGGUGAGCCGCCGCGCGACCGCCUGGGCCUCAGACAGGCCGCCGUGCCUCGCUUAGGACGAAGUCCUUGCUACGUCUAUUUAUUUGAGGUGACUCUUGUACUUGGCAAAGGAAAGUUUCACUGUGUGAUUGUCUUCUUAAUAUAAUUUGUUAAAUAAACGUUUGUUUUAACCUU